CGUGCACCGGUGGGGUCCCUUGGCCUGGCCUGUGCCCUCUUUCAAUCAGGGACCCUCAGGGAAUGUCGGAGUGCCAGUUUCGGCCGAUCCCCGCAGGCCAGGCCGAGGGACCCCACCGGUGCACG
rnacentral:pre_miRNA from 1 species